AGUAAUGCUUAGGAAUCUGCCUAUUAGUGGGGGACAACAUCUCGAAAGGGAUGCUAAUACCGCAUACGUCCUACGGGAGAAAGCAGGGGAUCUUCGGACCUUGCGCUAAUAGAUGAGCCUAAGUCGGAUUAGCUAGUUGGUGGGGUAAAGGCCUACCAAGGCGACGAUCUGUAGCGGGUCUGAGAGGAUGAUCCGCCACACUGGGACUGAGACACGGCCCAGACUCCUACGGGAGGCAGCAGUGGGGAAUAUUGGACAAUGGGGGGAACCCUGAUCCAGCCAUGCCGCGUGUGUGAAGAAGGCCUUAUGGUUGUAAAGCACUUUAAGCGAGGAGGAGGCUACUUUAGUUAAUACCUAGAGAUAGUGGACGUUACUCGCAGAAUAAGCACCGGCUAACUCUGUGCCAGCAGCCGCGGUAAUACAGAGGGUGCGAGCGUUAAUCGGAUUUACUGGGCGUAAAGCGUGCGUAGGCGGCUUAUUAAGUCGGAUGUGAAAUCCCCGAGCUUAACUUGGGAAUUGCAUUCGAUACUGGUGAGCUAGAGUAUGGGAGAGGAUGGUAGAAUUCCAGGUGUAGCGGUGAAAUG
rnacentral:rRNA from 1 species